AGAGUUUGAUCAUGGCUCAGGAUGAACGCUAGCGGCAGGCCUAAUACAUGCAAGUCGAGGGGCAGCACGGGUAGCAAUACCUGGUGGCGACCGGCGCACGGGUGCGUAACACGUAUACAAUCUGCCUUUAACAGGGGGAUAGCCCGGAGAAAUCCGGAUUAAUACCCCAUAAUAAAUGAAACGGCAUCGUUUUAUUUUGAAAGCUCCGGCGGUUAGAGAUGAGUAUGCGUCUGAUUAGUUAGUUGGUGAGGUAACGGCUCACCAAGACCACGAUCAGUAGGGGAUCUGAGAGGACUACCCCCCACACGGAUACUGAGACACGGAUCCGACUCCUACGGGAGGCAGCAGUAAGGAAUAUUGGACAAUGCCCGCAAGGGUGGUCCAGCCAUGCCGCGUGCAGGAAGACGGCCCUAUGGGUUGUAAACUGCUUUUACACCGGAGAAAACCCCACUACGUGUAGUGGGCUGAUAGUAUGGUGAGAAUAAGCAUCGGCUAACUUCGUGCCAGCAGCCGCGGUAAUACGAAGGAUGCAAGCGUUAUCCGGAUUCAUUGGGUUUAAAGGGAGCGUAGGUGGCCUUAUAAGUCAGUGGUGAAAUCUCUGGGCUUAACCCAGAAAUUGCCAUUGAUACUGUAGGGCUUGAGUAUAGUUGCCGUUGGCGGAAUAUGACAUGUAGUGGUGAAAUACAUAGAGAUGUCAUAGAACACCGAUUGCGAAGGCAGCUGACGAAACUAUAACUGACACUGAGGCUCGAAAGUGCGGGGAUCAAACAGGAUUAGAUACCCCGGUAGUCC
rnacentral:rRNA from 1 species